rnacentral:rRNA from 1 species
UACGUAGGGUGCAAGCGUUGUCCGGAAUUAUUGGGCGUAAAGAGCUCGUAGGCGGUUUGUUGCGUCGGCUGUGAAAUCCCGAGGCUCAACCUCGGGUCUGCAGUCGAUACGAGCAAACUAGAGUGUUGCAGGGGAGACUGGAAUUCCUGGUGUAGCGGUGAAAUGCGCAGAUAUCAGGAGGAACACCUGCGGUGUAGACAGCUUUCUGGACCACUUCUGACGCUGAGACACGAAAGCGUGGGUAGCAAACAGG